rnacentral:rRNA from 1 species
CCUACGGGCGGCUGCAGUGGGGAAUAUUGGACAAUGGGGGGAACCCUGAUCCAGCCAUGCCGCGUGUGUGAAGAAGGCCUUCGGGUUGUAAAGCACUUUAAUUUGGGAGGAAGGGCUUACGGUUAAUAACCGCUAAGUUUUGACGUUACCAAAAGAAUAAGCACCGGCGGUAAUACGAAGGGUGCGAGCGUUAAUCGGAAUUACUGGGCGUAAAGCGCGCGUAGGUGGUUCAUUAAGUUAGGAGUGAAAGCCCCGGGCUCAACCUGGGAAUUGCUUCUAAAACUGGUGAGCUAGAGUACGGUAGAGGGUGGUGGAAUUUCCUGUGUAGCGGUGAAAUGCGUAGAUAUAGGAAGGAACAUCAGUGGCGAAGGCGACCACCUGGACUGAUACUGACACUGAGGUGCGAAAGCGUGGGGAGCAAACAGGAUUAGAUACCCUUGUAGUC